AAUAACAAAGUAAAGGACAGAUAUGUGAAAUUUCUACUUAAGUAGAAAUGUAAAGAAGUAUUUGUACUUCGUUACAUUACAACACUGGGUAAGGUCAGCUCAGGUGCUGUUGGAUGGGCGCUGCUGACUACUUCCAACACUGUGGUUUUCUCAACCCCAGAGCGUGGCGGAUUCUCUUCCAGAGUGAAGUCUUCUUUGGUUUCUCAGGGAGAACACUGGAGAGAGACUUCUCCUCAGUGACAUCAUCCUUACUCUCUCCAUUGAGCUCCCGACUGGAAACAUCAGCUUCAUGACAGUGGCAGACCACAUUGUAAGAAGCUUUGAGCUUCAUCAGCUCUUCUUGGA
rnacentral:misc_RNA from 1 species